rnacentral:lncRNA from 1 species
GUGCGUGUUCAACUUCAUAAAAACUUUUCUAAAAUGAAGCUCUAAUAUUGACUACUUGUAACUUUAUGUUGCAUUCAUACCUUCACAACAUCCGCAUAAGCCACAUUUCUUGUGUUCUAAUAUUUGUUUUUGUUUUCAAUGAGCAUACUCAACCCUAAUAUUAAAAAAAUCACAUUAAAGUAAAUUCAAAAAAGCAUCUUUAAAAAUUCAAAAUCAUGUCUAUUAGUCAUUGUAUUCCUCAAAUCCAUCAUUGGAUUGCUCCAUGCUCCAUAAAUCAUUGCCUGUGAAGAGUCAACUAUGUCUCUUUCACAUAGCCAACAAGUAUGCUACAAAUUAACACAUACUUGCUCAAACGUCUCCAAUCAUUGUUAUACUCCACCUCGUCGGUCGACCAUACAAUAUCUACCCAUAGUGUCAUCAUCGACUCUUGCAUAUCUUCAAGUCACAUUGCUUGCAUUUUGCACAAUCAUUUUUUCUAUGUAAAACAGACAAAACAAUAACAGUCGGUGAAAAUACAACUUCAAUUGCUUCCAUCAAAG